rnacentral:miRNA from 10 species
UCCUGGUUUGCUUGGGACUGAGGGGUUUCCCAGGAUGCAGGACUUUCAGUGCCAAAACUGGAAAGGU